CAAGCACACAGAUAAAACACCUCAUUGUAGCAUUUCACCAGGAUAAGUAUUCUAGGUAUCGUUAUUUAUAAUUCUGCUUAAGAGAACAAAAGGGAUGAAAUUAAAUUAAGGACAAAAUCUAUCAAGGCAUAGACUAGAGAUAAACAUGAUUACUAAUGAGAAACUCGUCACACAGUCACUUACUUUGGCAGGGGGUAAACCAUAAAGAUAAUGAUAAUGAAUUAUAAGUUCAAGGGAUAAAGAACACAGCGAUUAGAAAAUAGACUACUCCUCAUAUAUGUAGG
rnacentral:lncRNA from 1 species